rnacentral:rRNA from 1 species
UACGUAGGGUGCGAGCGUUGUCCGGAAUUAUUGGGCGUAAAGAGCUCGUAGGCGGUUUGUCGCGUCGACUGUGAAAACCCGAGGCUUAACCUCGGGCCUGCAGUCGAUACUGGCAAACUAGAGGACGGUAGAGGCGUGUGGAAUUCCGGGUGUAGUGGUGAAAUGCGUAGAGAUCCGGAGGAACACCAGUGGCGAAGGCGACACGCUGGGCCGUACCUGACGCUAAAGCGCGACAGCAUGGGGAGCGAACGGG